CAGAUGUGAACCCUGCAUCUUAAUACCCAGAAAAGUACCUGGGGCAUAGUAAGUCGUUAGUAAAUAUUAGUUUGAUGAAUGAAUGAAAGUAUGAGCCAAGAGGAAAUAUGAGUGGCUAUUUAACAGACACCCCAGAAUUUGUCUAAAUCCAAUGUAGCUUCAUUCCAAUGCAGUUUAUGAAUUAUGGCAAUAACACAUACACCUAUUCUUGGGUACAAUCACUCCUAUUCUUGGGUACAAUCUACUAUCAAAGUGAAAAAAAAUCUUGUUCAUGCUGUUUUAUUGUUAAAUCAUUCUUCUUGGAAAGCAUAGAAUAAGGGGCUCAAAGUUAAAUAGAUCUUAUAGACUGGGUCCUCCAAAAGCUUUAUUAUAAACUGAGACAUAAAGAGUCUUAAUAUCUCAUCUGUGGUUGCACAGUGGUUAUGUAAAAAUGUUGGAGCAGGCUAUUGAAAGCCAGAGGAAGUUUGAAAAGUCUGAACGGUAGCUCCCCAAUUCUCAAAAGACAGAGAAAGAAGUCUAAGGGGGAGGAGGAGGGUUGGUGGUGGCAAAUGCUGAGACAGAACAAAACAGAAAGGAAGUUUUAGAUCUUAAAAAAAAAAAACAAAAAACCUAAAAUGGAACUGAUCUUUUCAGAUAUGGCCUUUUUGUCUCCAAGGAAUUUCAGAAAACCUAUUUGAGUCGAAUUUUCUCACAGAUUUUCAUAGGAACUUUCAUUGAACUCUUCCCUUUCUCACCAGAACCUAAAUGACCAUCUAGUAAUGAUGUUACCAGCAGAGUGAAUCCUCCUGUCCUCAACCCACUUCAUUCUUCCCUAGAUUGUGCUUGUGAUGCUGGAUCCCAGGAAACCUUCACUAGCUCAAGAUCACAAAGACUCUGUUAGAUUUUCUAUAUAGGUGAUCAUGUCAUCUGUGACUAGAGUCAGCUUCACUUCUUCCCGUCCAAUAUGGAUAUCUUUUUUUCCCUUUUUGGGAGUCUGGAAACUGUCUCAAUUGAAGCAGGAAACUGAGGCACUUUUUCCACCAAGCUCCACCAUGGAUUUUCCAUGAAAGCCGUUUUACUGAACUGGAACUACUUUGACUCUAAGCACCAUGGGUCAGCAUGUCCCCGUGGAAAGAAACUGAGAUGGAAAUUGUUUCUACUCUGAGUGUGCAGAAUACAGGGAGACUCAAAUGAUGAGCGCUUCUAGAAAUCCACAGGCUGUAAAAGUGAGUUGUAAAAGAGACAGUGGUUCCUAAUAGAUUUUUACCGUUCUGACUUCUAUGGAAGAUGUAGGGACUUCAUCCAGGCCACCACUUGUGUGUGGAUUUUUAUUAUUGGGUAAGCAUCAGAUCAGAGAAGGCCAUGGCACCCCACUCCAGUACUCUUGCUUGGAAAAUCCCAUGGACAGAGGAGCCUGGUGGGCUACAGUCCAUGGGGUCACUAAGAGUCAAAAACGACUGAGCAACUUCAC
ensembl:lncRNA